GUAUGUACAUAUAUCACAGGUGUAGGUAUCCAGAUACAUAUAACUUGGGAAAUCAGCUUUUUUCCCAAUCUCUACCAGGGGAAAGUAAAACCAUUUAAACUUUAAAGAAUUAACAUUUGACUACUGUACAGACAUUUGAAAUAAUAUUCAAGUAUUGCACAAUAUUUAAAUAGCAUAAAGAUUAUUUUGAAAAAUAAUUGUUUGAUUACUGUAUAGAUCAGCUUAUAUCAGGUACCCCACAUCCUGGUCUGGCCCUGUUAAAAAGGA